ACCCUUCCGAUCAGCGAGGUACAUCGACCUCUUUGAUCGGAAGGGGUUCCUUCCGAUCAACGAGGAUGUACCCUCGUUGACCGGAAGGAAACUCUUCCGGUCAACGAGGUAGAUGUACCUCGCUGAUCGCAAGGGU
rnacentral:miRNA from 1 species